GGAGAGUUGGCAGAGCCUGGAUUAAUGCAACAGUCUUGAAAACUGUCGAACAGAAAUGUUCCGUGGGUUCGAAUCCCACACUCUCCUCCA
rnacentral:tRNA from 1 species